CUGAUUAGUGGCGCACGGGUGAGUAUACCAUAGAUAAUGUACCCCUUAGUUCGGGAUAGCCACUGGAAACGGUGAUUAAUACCGGAUACUCCUUCUCAUUAUAAGAUGAGUCGGGAAAGUUUUUUCGCUAAGGGAUCAGUCUAUGUCCUAUCAGCUAGUUGGUGAGGUAAUGGCUCACCAAGGCUAUGACGGGUAUCUGGUUUGAGAGGAUGAUCAGACACACUGGAACUGAGACACGGUCCAGACUCCUACGGGAGGCAGCAGUGAGGAAUAUUGCACAAUGGAGGAAACUCUGAUGCAGCAACGCCGCGUGGAGGAUGACGCAUUUCGGUGUGUAAACUCCUUUUAAGAGGGAAGAUAAUGACGGUACCUCUUGAAUAAGCACCGGCUAACUCCGUGCCAGCAGCCGCGGUAAUACGGAGGGUGCAAGCGUUACUCGGAAUCACUGGGCGUAAAGGGUGCG
rnacentral:rRNA from 1 species